rnacentral:lncRNA from 1 species
UGAAAAGUAGUAAAUUGGGUCUAGCCCUCUUUGUUAACCUAAAUCACCAUUAUAUCUUGUAAAAUUGGCACUAAAAUGAUUCUCAAGAGCCAUGGAAUGAUCAUGUAGCACCAUUAACAUGAAAACGUGUAGAUAAUCUAAACUUGAAGGAAAUCCGAGACUUAAGAUGUAGAUGAAGUAUGCGAUGGAGAUAGCGAUGACGGUGAUGGAAGAUUGGAA